rnacentral:rRNA from 1 species
CUAACAAGGAUUCCCCUAGUAACUGCGAGUGAAGCGGGAAAAGCUCAAAUUUAAAAUCUGUCAGCUUUGGCUGUCCGAGUUGUAAUCUAGAGAAGUGUUAUCCGCGCUGGACCGUGUACAAGUCUCCUGGAAUGGAGCGUCAUAGAGGGUGAGAAUCCCGUCUUUGACACGGACUGCCAGGGCUUUGUGAUGCGCUCUCAAAGAGUCGAGUUGUUUGGGAAUGCAGCUCAAAAUGGGUGGUAAAUUCCAUCUAAAGCUAAAUAUUGGCGAGAGACCGAUAGCGAACAAGUACCGUGAGGGAAAGAUGAAAAGAACUUUGGAAAGAGAGUUAAACAGUACGUGAAAUUGCUGAAAGGGAAACGCUUGAAGUCAGUCGCGUUGUCCAGGGACUCAACCUUGCUUUUGCUUGGUGUACUUUCUGGUUGACGGGUCAGCAUCAAUUUUGACUAUUGGAAAAAGGUCAGGGGAAUGUGGCAUCUUUGGAUGUGUUAUAGCCCUUGGUUGUAUACAAUGGUUGGGAUUGAGGAACUCAGCACGCCGCAAGGCCGGGUUUUUUUAACCACGUACGUGCUUAGGAUGCUGGCAUAAUGGCUUUAAUCGACCCGUCUUGAAACACGGACCAWGGAGUCUAACAUACCUGCGAGUGUUUGGGUGGAAAACCCAAGCGCGUAAUGAAAGUGAAAGUUGAGAUCCCUGUCGUGGGGAGCAUCGACGCCCGGACCAGACCUUUUGUGACGGUUCCGCGGUAGAGCAUGUAUGU